rnacentral:tRNA from 1 species
GCCGAUGUAGCUCAAUGGCAGAGCAAUGCUUUCGUAAAGCAGAGAUAUGGGUUCGAUUCCCGUCUUCGGCUCCA